UACAGGGGGUGCAAACGUUGCUCGGAAUUAUUGGGCGUAAAGCGCGCGUAGGCGGCUAUCUAAGUCGGAUGUGAAAGCCCCUGGCUUAACUGGGGAAGUGCACCCGAAACUGGGUAGCUAGAGUGCAAAAGAGGGUCGCGGAAUUCCCGGUGUAGAGGUGAAAUUCGUAGAUAUCGGGAGGAACACCGGUGGCGAAGGCGGCGACCUGGGUUGACACUGACGCUGAGGCGCGAAAGCGUGGGGAGCAAACGGG
rnacentral:rRNA from 1 species